UGGACGAUGUCCUACGGUAGGUUAGUUUAGAGUAGUGAAGUAUUCGUAGGUUCGUAUUAUAUUUUAGAAAUUUGGUUUGGUCACGCCUGUGUUGGAUCCCACAGCGUGUGAUUUUUUCUCUGUGGAUACUUGUAUGGAGUAUCUAUAUGAGUAUAUAUAUGUAUAUGCAUAAUAAAAAAAAAGAUUGAUCAUAGGAUCAAUUUUUUUUUCUUACAAGUAAUGGGGGAAUGUAACGAUGAGUUACUACUAUCGUUACUAAAAUGUUAUUCCGAUGGGAACUAGGUAUGCAACCAACUUUACAAGCACUCGUAUUAGAGGUUGCAGUUGAUAGACGAUAAAGUUGGUAAUAUCUGGUAGAUUAGAGUCUAGCAGUUGGCAAUGACGAUAUCCGGCAGGGGUGUAUGUCAUAUCGGCCAUAGCGGCUGGCACUUCACUUGAAUUUUCGUUCUUGUCCGAUCAAGAAGUCCUCCGGUGGCCAUUGUAAGAAUUUACCUUUUGGUUGAAAUAAGUUAUAAGAAGAUUAAUUUACGUUGGAGGAAGUUUUUAUUUUUUUGUUUGGGGUUGUGAAGAGUUUUUGGUUCCAAUAUUUUUUGAAGAAAACAAUGGCCACUGGAGGGAGACUAUAACAAAAUUUAAGUCACAUUUGGAUGCUUCAUUUAUUUAUGGAAUAAACAAUCAUUUUGGUAUUAUUUUGGGUUUGGAUUGGAAGAGUUUUGGAUGUUUUUUUUUCUCGUUUCUGGAAUAGACACUAAGUUCUAUCGACACUAGCAAGUACCUCCUCGUCAAUACUCUGUGUUGCUGUUCCUUACCUCCCGAGGAUUGGGAAGAUCGGAGGAUACGUACCUGGCUCUCUCAUCAUCAACCUCACCAGGAUUUUGGAGAAGCCACAGGCCUACUUUUGUAGAAACGCCAGGUUUUUAUAAUAAAAUUUGAAUUUUCAAUCCUUUUAAAUAAUAGUUUUCAAUUUUCAAUUUUUUUCAAUAACUCAAAUACAUAACCUUAAUAAUAAUAUAAAUUCACCUUCUUAAACCCUAUUAUCUUUAUAAUAUUCAAUAAUUUUUUUUUGUCAACGAAUUUUAUAUUUCAUUUUCAUGAUUGUAUCAGGUAUUUAAAAUAAUCUCAGGAUUGUAAACUAUCUGGGACGAUACUGUGCACACUAUCGAAGGGUUUAUUUCCUACUCAAUAAUAUUUAUUCCAUUCACCAGAUAUUGUCAGGUUGUCACUUACGAUCAGAUACGGGAUUGUCAGCCAAUCUUGUAUUCUACAGUAAUAAUUAGUUUGUACAUGCAUAUUUAGAUCAAAUCACUUCCUUAGUAGAAUAAAUUCAUUACAUAUAUUAGUUUUUUCAUACUGUAAAACCUGCAUUAUCGACAGGAGUGUACUACCAUAGUACGUCGGAUAUUUAGCUAGUGUAUAAAAUUGUAUAUAGGGUUUAUAGGUAUUUUUUUUAUUAAAUGUGGUUGUACAUA